CUUUUGCUAUUGUGGUUCGAAACAUUGGCUUGUUGAUUGAAUCUGAUUCCUAGGUCUUAUAGGGAUAUAUAGAAUGAUUAGCAAUUUCUAGAAACAUAGAGACCUGGAAAUCCUUUGUAAAUAACAUAUUUUCUUGGUGUUAUAGUACUUUGCAUCCCCUUUACAGAAGAAUAUGGCAAAAACUUCAUUUCAGAACCAAUAGAACAUGUGAUGAUCAAGUAGGGCUCAGAUGGAAAAUCAACUUAAGUUAAUCUGCUCAAAGGAAAACGUAAAAACUGUUACAAUGGCUUGGGUCUGAAGCUUAGCAUGCGCUUCCUUUCAUAGCUAGAAUGCUAGAUUGGGUUUCGAAUUUGAUGCUGUUAUUAUCGGGGGGAAAAUAUAAUUUUAUUUGCCUAGUCCAGUGCCUGAAACUAGAGUUUUGGAUUCCAAUCUCCAGAUGACUGACAUCAUCUUCUGCAAACUUAGGAGAGCAUAAUGGAUUAGCCGGUUAGGUUCGUUGUCCUCCAGAUACGGAUCUUGACUUCAGAUUUCCUUGAUUUAUAUCAACUUUGGUGUUUUCUAAGUACUACUCCGUGUCUCCAUCCCAUAUUAAGUGACGAAAUAUUACAUGUGUGAUGUAUCUAGUCGCUUUUUGGAUAUAGAUACAUCCAUAUGUGGACAAAUUUGAGUCACUUAAUAUGAGACGGAGGGAGUAUUAGAUAUGAUCUCUCCCCUGAAAGAGAAUCACUGAUGGUAACUUUUAGAUAAGGCGUUCAGAUACCUGAUGAGUUAGGAUAUGGAUGGCAAAUUUCCGUACUGAUUAAGUGAUAAGAUGCCAGCGCUAUUACCCCAUCAAAAGACGUGUACCUCUUAUGGCUUCAGAUGACGAUCUGUAGCCCCAAAAAUUGGCUUGUUGAUGUCUGUCAAAGACUAUCUAAAUGACCUUCCUGCUCUCAAAGUCUGAAAUUCUUUUGUUUAAGCUCGUUGCAGCUUUAGUUGAUGCCUAGGUACCGCAAGGUUAUAUUUGGGUGCAGGGUGACAAUAUUUAUGCAUCUACGGACUCAAGGAAACUUGGAUCUGUGCCUUAUGGUCUUGUAGAAGGGAAGAUGUCCUAUUGGAUUUGGCCACUGAAGAAGAUUAGUUUGAUUGAUCCCAAGGAGUAGCACACUACAUAAUUCGUGAAGAGAGAGACAUUUUCGAGCAUACACAUACAUUCAGGUGACACAAACGAGAACCCACAUUUGUGGAUGCAUCUUGACGUCUAUGAUGUGAUAGUUCACAGUUUUGGUCCAUGUCUUCUGGAAGUCUCAUUUAGCCAAUCUAUGAAAAAUUGUUUCUGCCUUUCGUUGUAACUUAUGGUCAGUCAAUUUUUGUAUAGAUUGGAAGAGGACAGAGUUUUCGGGCAUGGUUGAACGUAACAUCGAGAAUCAAACUGACUUCUUGU